UACGGGGGGGGCAAGCGUUGUUCGGAAUUACUGGGCGUAAAGGGCGCGUAGGCGGCUCGCUAAGUCGGAUGUGAAAACUCUGGGCUCAACCCAGAGCCUGCAUUCGAAACUGACGAGCUCGAGUUCUGGAGGGGAAAGCGGAAUUCCUGGUGUAGCGGUGAAAUGCGUAGAUAUCAGGAGGAACACCAACGGCGAAGGCAGCUCUCUGGUACGUGAUUGACGCUGAGACGCGAAAGCGUGGGUAGCAAACAGG
rnacentral:rRNA from 1 species